AAGGGUGCAAAGUGUAAUUUCAUGGGAUUGCAUCAAUUCACUUUUCCUAAAGUAACUAAGAUUGGGAAAUUUUUGAAAAACAUGUAGUUACUUUGUAUUUCAUAUUAUACUUUUAAUGAGGGGAUGAGGUUGCCCUAUCCUACCCGUUCGGCUAACGACCCUCCACCGAUCAAGCAAGCGGUGGGUGUGAGUGUACACCCAUUAAGUGCCAUUUUAUAGGCAGCAACCUUAUACCCACCUUAUAGACCGGCUUCGUGAAUAAGGCCUACUAACGGUAAGACUAGCAUUUUAAUUAUACACACACACACACACACACACACACACAUAUAUAUAUAUAUAUAUACAUAUAUAUAUUAGUCUUGUAAUAUUAUAUUAGUAUAGGGUUGAAUUUUAAACUUGUAAAAUUCUAGGGUUUGAAAUUUAAAUUGUCUAAAUUAAGCUUUAAAUCACAAAACAUAAAUUUCAAAACUUGAGGACAAGUUUAAAACUUUUCAAAACAAAAGGGGAUCAAAUUACAAAUAAUCUAAAUUAACAUUUAAUCACAUAAUUAUCCAUAUUUGAUUUAUUUAAUAAUUUCUUGCAAAACAAUUUACCAAUUUAAUCAAAAUAAUUAAUCAAUUAUCACAUAAGGAAAUAAAUAUUUUAUUAAUUGAUAAAUAUCUUCAAUUAGAUCAAGAAUAUACUCAUAUAUAUCAUAAAAUCGGAUUUAUAUUGAUCUAAUAUGAUAAAGGCAAGUAUCUCAAAGAUAAACAGCAAGAAAUCCCGAUAUUUGCUCUUUUUGACGCUUGGACUCGCCGAGUACCCCAAUGGACUGGCCGAGUCGAGCCUACUCGCCGAGUCCACUAUUGGACUCGCCGAGUCCAUCAGACAGAAACAUAAAAUUCCAAUUUAACAAGCAUCAAACAAGCAAACAAUGCAUCAAUUCAAUAGAAACCAAUCUAGGAUCUGAUACCACUGAUGGGUUUUAGCCAUAUGAACAUUCCUAUGUGCACAUGCAAACCCUAAUGCUUGGAUCUAGGUUUCUCUAAUUGAACAUACAUUGAAUCCAAGACGUCUAUUGGCUAAUAGAGUAUAAUAACAAUAUGAAAUCAGAUUUAGAAGUUUACCUUGAAUCAUUUGCUUGAUCUUCUUGUCCUUGGAGCUUUAGAGUCACAAUUGUCACUCCUCUAAUGGCUUACAAAAACCAACUAGCAAGAGGAUGAUUUGAGAGAGAGGAGAGAGGAUCAAAAUCGGCCAGGGUUUCCUUCUAAAGCACAAGUGCCGAUUUCCCUUGACUCCUAGGGUCUAUUUAUACUAAUAAGGCUCCUAAGGUUUCACCCUUAAACCCUAAUUAGAUAACUUAGGCCGUAAGCAAUCCAAUACCCUAAUUGAUAAGCCUUGGACGAAUUUUAAGCCUAUCCUAAGCCAUAGAAAUCGUCCCCCCUUAUCCUUAAGGGAUUUAUAGCCCAAAGUACAACUAUUAAUCAAUUGACAGUUUAUGCCCUUCUAUUUAAUUAAUCUCCUUAAGUCACCAAAUUAAUUCCUAAUUAAUUUAUGAUUUAUAUUAAUCAAAUAAUAAUAUUAUUAUUCCUUAUAUUAUUCUCAUAAUAUAUUAACAAUAUUUCUUCUCUCAUAAUAAAUCAUCCUGUCAAGUUGCUAUGGUGAAGGCAACCCAAAAGGACCAUGCACAAUCGGGUCAAAUACUUUUCUAAUAUAGUUUCAGCCUUACACACUAUUCCAACAGGUAGUUCUCUAAACGACAUAGCGUAUCUAAAAAUCAGUAAGAGGUUGCAAACAUCUCAAAGUCGGCGAGAGAGUUAUGUUGACAGACGUUUAUUUGAGUUGGUGCCCCGAUAUAUUGGAUCGGUUUGAGUAUUAGCCAGGGUAGGCAAGGUAGCCUAUCGAUUGGAUUUUCCAGAGGAGCUUAGUCACAUUCGCAACACCUUCCACAUUUCCCAGCAUCAGAAGUGUGUGACUGAAGAUUCAACAGUUUUUCCUUUAAAUUAUAUUCAGGUUGAUGAUCGCCUGAACUAUUUUGAUAGACCAGUGGCUAUUCCGGAUAGGAAGAUGAAGGCCUUAUGCAAGAAGGUGGUAUCAUUGGUCAAGGUUCAAUGGCAGCAUCGGAAGGGUUCCAAAUGGACUUGGCAACCCGAGGCGAAGAUGAAAGGGCACUUCCCAGAGUUGUUCGUAGCAUUGGACUUCGAGGACGAAUUUGGGUUCAUGUGAGGGGGAAUUGAAACAUUCAUUAUUCAUUUAAUUAACAUUUUUGACCCUGAGUGUGAAAUUUAAUUGCAAAAAUGGUCCCAUAGCUCCAUAUGUAAGAAACACAUGACUUGUACAUACAUAGGGCAUAUCCUUUGGUAUGGGGGGCGUAUGUGGAAAAAUUAAAAAUCCUAAUUUUUAGGGCAUGAACUCUAACCCCCUAAGAUCCUUUCCCUUAUCAGCCUCCAUCUCUCAUUUCGUCCUUAGCAAACCCUAAUCCUUUUGUGACCCUUUGUGAGCUUGAGUGUGCAUUCUUGGUGUUUUUGAACGAAGUAGAGGGAAGGGAAAUCAUCGUGGGCGCUCCAGGAAUCUUGGAUCCAAAAGUGUUUCACCCUCAAGCAUCCUUUGAAGGUAUAAAAGCAUGGUUUGAAGGUAUAAAUUUUGAAACUUGAUCAUUUAUUUGCUUAGAUCUUGUUACCCUUGAAUUUGUGUUCAUUUUGGUCCCAUAAGCUUGGUGUUCAUAAGUAUGGAUUACUCUAACCAGAAGAGUUGUUCUUUCAAAAUUUUGUAGGUAUGUGGAACAAUAAAAAUGUGAUCUUCGUCAUUCUAUCGUGUGGGUUAGUCUCUUCGUGAUGAUUGUAGCAAUAUGAAUUNUAUAUAUAUAUAUACACAUUGUUCAUUUUCUGUAUAUUGAUCACGAGAGGAUAUGGUUUUGGAUCUGGAGAUGGCCAGAAUAGGCCAUGAUUGACUGAUGAUCAUAUACAUGAGUUGAUUGCCACCAAGGUGGCUACUGUUGUCCGAAGUUCUAUUGCAGAGUAGUUUGGGUCUAUCAAGACUGCUAUGAUUGAGCUAUUCGAUGAUCACUAUCGUGCCUUCACUGAGACUGCUACUAGUGUAGCUACCACAACCGUCGUUGUUGCGGAAGGCCGGGGAGGAGGUUCAUUCCAGUAUUGGGACAUCAGUAACAUGAAGCCCCUAUAGUUCGACGGGGUCAAGGAACCGAUAGUUGUUAUGAGAUCGAUUUAGGAUGUUGAGGGAUGUUUCUUCACCUGCACGAAGGAUUGGUGGAACGUGUUGACCAAUUCCUAUAAUCCAAUGCAGAGGACUACUGUUACCUUGGAGCAAUUCUCGAAGAUGGUUCGCAUGAGAUUUGUUCCCCUGGUGGAGAAGGAUAGAUUGGCUCAGGAGUACCUCGAUCUAAGACAGACCAUUGUGAAGGUGAUGGAGAUUACCAAGAUGUUUACUGAGAGGGGUCAAUUCUGUCCCGAGUUUGUUGCUUCGGAUAAGGCUCAGAUGACGGGAUACAUGAGCAUGCUCAAGAGAGAUAUCUAACAGUUUGUGUCUACCGAGUGUUACAGUACCCUCAACGAGCUUCAAGAUGCCAUGAGGAUGCGAGAGAUUGAGACAGAGACCCAGACGAGGGAGCAGCAUCAGGCCCUGGUUCACUCCCAGACUGCGCCCAAGCAUUUCAAGUUUGUUGAGACACGAUGUGAGGGAUAGAGGGGUCGCACUUGUGGAAAGUAUGAGAGAGCUCAUGAGCGGAUGUGUCGAUCAUCGACAACAUGUCAAAAUUACGGUAGAGAGGGAAACUUUGUGAAGAAUUGUCGCUAUUAGGCUCUACUUCUGAGCACCAGGAUUUGUUAUCAUUGUGAGCAGGUAGGCCAUGUGAAGGCCCAAUGUCACUUGCUUGCUGCCACACUCGUGUAUGCACGAACUACUUAUAACCUUCAUAUCACGGAUGGACGAUGGGGGUAGGGUGGAGCCUCCAAUGGCUCGAGUUCGUGCACUCCAACUCACAUUAGAGGAGGCCAAGGUGGCGUCGGCUGUCAUAACUGGUAUGUUUUAAUUUAUUAUUCUACCAAUUAUUUUAUUGCAUGCUUAUGUUUAUGAUUUUGUCCGGUACCUUCAUAGUGAUUUCCUUGCCUGCUCUUGUGGUUUUCGACUCGGGUGCUAGUUGGUCCUUUAUAUUUCAGUCCUGCAGUAGGAGUUUUGAUAUGUCUCUAGGAGAGUUGGAGUGCCCGUUGCCAAUUUCUAUCGCCAAAGAGCAUGGGGUUUCUACGUCGAGUGUUUUACAGGGUUGCAUUUUGGAGAUUUUCGUGGUUGCUUACCUGAUUGAUUUGAUCCCUAUUCCCAUGGGGGAUGUACGCUUGAUAGUACAAAUGUAUUGGCUCAGAAGGUUUGGUACGAUUAUUGAUUGUGAGGGUUGGGUCAGCAGUUUGUAGUUCGACCCCAAAUGCAGAUUACUGAGUAUUUAUAGAGAAGGCAUGAGGAUCGGGCCAACCUUUAGUUUUGCAGCCAACUCUCGAUAUUGUUUGCAACAUGGGUGUAUGGGUUACCUCGUGUAUGUGUUGGACACUCAGGUCGGAAAGGAGUUUCAGUUUUAGAUGUACUUAUAGUCAAAGAGUUCCCAUAUGUGUUUUCGGAGAAAUUCCCGAUGUGCCUCUUGAGAGGCAGGUUUAGUUUAGGAUUGAUUUGAUCUGUGGUGUGGCCCCGAUUUUUAAGGCGCCAUAACGAUUGGCACCACCAGAGAUGCAAGAGUUGUCCUCUCAGCUUCAGGUGCUAUUGGGCCAACAGUUUAUCAGACUUAGUAGUUCACCUUGCGGAGCACCGAUUAUGUUUGUCAAGAAAAAGGAUGGGUCUCACUAUAUAAGUAUUUAUUAUUGGGAGUUGAACGAGUUAACGGCAAAGAAUUGGUACCCAAUUCCUUAGAUUGAUGACCUCUUCGACCAGUUGCAGGGCGCAUCUUGGUUCUCCAAGAUCGAUUUAAGGUAACGGUAUCAUCAGAUGAUGGUUAGAGUGGAGGACGUGGAAAAGACAGUGUUCCAGACUCGUUGUGGUCAUUACUAGUUCGUGGUGAUGUCGUUUGGGAUCACCAAUGCAUCUGUGGAAUUUAUGGAUUUGAUGAAUUGAGUGCAUAGACCGAUGCUCGAUCGAUCAAUUAUUGUGUUUAUCGAUGAUAUCCUUGUCUAUUCCAAGACCAUGGAGCAGCAUGAGGAGCACCUUCAAGAGCUUCUGGGAGUUUUGAGAACGACUAUAGGCGAAGUUCUCGAAGUGUGAGUUUUUGUUAUGGAGGUCGAAUUCUUAAUACACCUCGUUAGCCAGAACAAGAUUCUGGUCGAUCCCCCAAAAUUGAGGUUGUUAUGAAGUGGGAGGUUCGGAAGUCUCCCUCAGAGAUCAAGAGUUUUCUAGGUUUAGUAGGGUAUUAGUGGAGAUUUAUUCAGGAUUUGUUCUAGGUUGUUGUAUCCCUCACUUGGCUGGCGAGGAAGGUCAUGGAUUUUCACCGGGGUCCUAAGCUCCAUGUUGCAUUCAAGACAUAGAGGCAGAAGUUAUAUGAGGCCCCAGCAUUGACCCUCCAUGAGGGUGUUGAGGAUUUUGUUCUAUAUUUUGGUGCAUCGAUCACCGGUCUGGGUGAUGUUCUUAUGCAUCAAGGGAGGGUUAUUGUUUAUGCUUCUACAUAGAUGAAGCCGCAUGAGGAUCAGUAUCCGACACAUGAUUUGGAGUUGGGGCGGUGGGGUUUUCCCUUAAGAUUUGGCGAUACCCAUGGUCGUGGAUUAUUGACCCAAUGUGGUCGAUUUUGGGUACUAGUGUUUGGUAGUAUCAUGUAGACUUUGUUGGAGGAGGCACAUAAGUCCAUGUUUUCGAUACAUCUGGGAACCACCAAGAUGUAUCGAAAUUUGAGACUUAGUUAGUGAUGGUCAUGUCUGAAGAGGGAGAUAACCAGGUCUAUUGAGAGGUACUUGACCUGUCGGAUGGUUAAGGCCGAGCAUCUGAGGUCGUAUGGCAAGCUUCAGCCUUUGGAGAUUCCCAUAUUGAAAUGGGAAUAUAUCACCAUGGAUCUCAUCACCAAGCUACCUUCGACGGCUAUUAGAUUUGAUGUGAUGUGGGUUAUAAUGGACCACCUGACAAAGAGUGCCCACAUUCUAGCUAUUUAGGAGAGCUCCUCGGCCAAGAAAUUGGCAGAAGUUUAUUUGUGCGAGAUCGUCGAUCGACAUUGUGUUCCAGUUUUCAUUUUAUCCGAUCGAGUCGUUCGGUUUAUUUCUUGAUUUUGGCAGAGGUUCCACGAGGAACUAAGUACGAGGUUGCAUUUUAGUACUGCUUAUCAUCCCCAGACUAACGGCCAGGGCGAGACGACGAUACUGAUGCUCAAGUUUAUAUUGAGAGCCUGUGUUAUAGAUCUUAGAGGGUGUUGGGAUUCCUACCUUACUCUGGAUGUGUUUUCUUACAACAACAACUGUCACCCCAGUAUCGAUGUGCCGUCAUUUGAGCUUCUUUAUGGGAGGAUAUGUCGUACCCCAGUCUGUUAGCGAGUGGUCGAUCACCAUGUCAUGGGAAGGACUGAGGUAGUUCUCAAGAUGACAUAGCUUAUAUGACAGAUCAGGAAGAAGUUGCAGACAACUCACAGUCGACAACAAAGUUAUGCUAACAAAUGUCGAUCUGAGUUGGGCCCCGAUAUAUUGGACCGUUAGGAGUAUUAACCAGGGUAGGAAGGGUAGCCUAUCGCUUUGAUUUUCCAGAGGAGCUUAGUCAGAUUCGUAAGACCUUCCACGUUUCCAGCUUCGGAAGUGUUUGGCUGACAAUGCAGCACUUUUUGCUUUGGAUUAUAUUUAGUUUGAUGAUCGCCUAAAUUAUGUUGAGAGACCAGUGGCAGUUCUGGAUAAGAAGAUGAAGGCCUUGCGCAAGAAGAUGAUAUCAUUUGUUAAGGUUUAGGUUCAACAUCGGAAGGGUUCCAAAUCGACUUGGGAAUCCGAGGCAGAUAUAUGAGAGCACUACCCUGAGUUGUUUAUAGCAUCGGACUUCAAGGAUGAAAUAUAAAUCAAGUGGGGGAUAACUGUAACAAUCAUAUGUAAGAAACGCAUGACUUGUGGGUACGCGGGGCAUACCUUUUGGUACGGUGGGAGACCCUCCAUCUCUCAUUUCGUCCUUAGAAAACCCUAAUCCUUGUCUGAUCCUUUUUGCACUUGAGAGUGCGUUCUUGGUGAUUUUGAAGGAAGUGGAGGGAAAGGAAAUCAUCUUGGGAGCUCAAGGCAGCUUGGAUCCAAAAGUGUUUCACCCUCAAGCAUACUUUGAAGGUAUAAAGUUUGAAACUUGAUGAUUUAUUUUCUUAGAUCUUUUUACCCUUGAGUUUGUGUUCAUUUUGGUCCCAUAAGCUUGGUGUUAAUGAGGAUGGAUUACUCUAACCAAAAGAGAGAUCCUUUCAUACGAUUUUAGGUGUUAAGAACCAUAAAAAUGUGAUCUUGGUCCUUCUAUCCCUUCCAUGGAAGAGUUAACGUCUUAAUGGAUUAAUAAGUUUGGGUUUUAACUUUUCGACCUUUUCUAGGCAUGGAAAGUCAUAAAGGUGGAAACUUUAUGACUUAAGACAAUGUUUGGAGUCUAGAUCUGAGUUUGGAUGGAAAACCCUUAUGGAUUAAUAACUUCAUGAGAAGGAAUGGACUCAGACGACAUACGUUGGGCGUACCAAGUAGUACGACGCGCGUAUGGGGUUUGUGUACUGUAUUUUUCGCUGAUGUCUCGAAUAUGCUCGACGUAAUGGAUGAGUACGUUGGGCGUACUUAAUCAACUUUGAAUUUCUUUGACCAAGGGUUGACUAAGGUUGACUUAGGUAUAUUUUUGUUAUGUUGAGUUGUAGUUUGAGUUUAGAUAACUGUUUGUUGCAUAGGUGACCUAUAGAGUUGACUUUUGGUGCAACGUUCUUUUUUGCUAUAUUUUCAGACUGUGAGGUGAGUAUCCCUUACUAUACUUGUGGGUCGAAGGAACCAAUGCCGUCCUAGUAGAUUAUGUAUCAUGGCUUAGGAUAUUGCUAUCCUUUCAACAUAGUUUGGUUUAUGUUGAGGCUAUACUGCUUUGUGUUGUCGGCCAACUAACCCGGUCGCAAUCCAACCGGGAGGUUGUAUGCCAGAGUGGCAAUUCAAUCGGGAGAUUGUGGGUCAGUGGCAAUCCAAUCAAGAGAUUGUGGGCCAAAUUGGUAAUCUAACCUGAAAGUUGUAGGCCAGGGUACAGUUGCAAGAUUCUGGACCCAUCAUGCAUUUUGUAUAUUGUGUGGUCGUGCGGUGUAUGUGGGUGGACUCAAUAAGAUAUGACUUAUAAUUUAAGUUUUAUGUUUGACGUAUUUCAGUUGAUCGGGGUAAGGCGAAUGCUUGAUCGUGCAUAUCUUUUGGUUUUUAUGAGAUUCGAUUUUGGGAUUCUCUUAUUUGUGAUUUUGGACUUUGGAAACUAGGGAAAUUGUCAGAAAAAUCACAAUAUUUUCGUAAAAGUUCUACUUUAGUCCAAUUUUUUUUUAUAAGUAUAAGAGUCCCGAUUAUUUCAGUUUGGCUCAAAUUAACAAAAAAUCUUUUUUUCUCUUAAUUUCUUUUAAUAAAAAAUGACAUUGUAGUGUAAAAUCAAAUAAUUGAUACUUUUAUGUUAAAAAAGUAAAACUAAAGUGAAACCUUUUCAAAAUAUUGUAUUGUAGUGGUAUCAAACCAUAAGAAUUAGAUUGCUGCUUAGUGAGUUCAACACCAUGUUAUUGUUAAGAUUGCUUCUUAGUGAAUUCAACACCAUGUUAUUGUUAAUGCACCGACUUGGUGGUCCUUUAGAAAGUUCGUUCAUUCCUAACUUUUCAUAUGCACCAGCAUGAUAAGGUUUGUGUCGUUUUUCAAAAUAACAUUAAUUACACAUAUUUACAUAUAUAAAUACACAUAUUGACAUAUAUAAAAGCAGAACAGUAUAAAUUUCGGGAAAUAGAAUUUUUACAUUUAAAUACAAAAUAAAUAAACUACUAAUAAACCAAAAGUAGCGUAGUAGUACACCACAAUACAGAUAAUUGUUAACAUCUAUUCUAAUAACAUCUACCCUAAUAAUGAAAAACAUUUUUAUUAAAUAUCGUAUUCUCAUUACACUUCAGGCAUACUAAGAAUUUUUGUUUUUUUUUUUCCUAUUGAUCAUUAUACGGUUCUUUCUAUGUUAUUAAAAUUUAUAGUUAAAUAUAAUAAUUUUGAUAUAAGUAAUAAUAAUAAAUAUAUAUCAAUUUAAGUAAUACAGUCAUUUUCAAUUUUUAAGUUUCUAAACUUAAUCCAAUAAAAAAAUAAAUGAAAAAAGUUUAAGAUAACAAAUUAGCUAUUACAUUUUAAUAAUUCAAUAUUUUUUAUUGUUUUUUUUAUAUAUUCAAAUUUCCUAAAUUUGUAAAUUAAUCUUCAAAUUCUUUUAAUAAACUCAUAAUAAACGGGUCUGGCAACUAUUAAUUUUAAAUUAACGUACCUAGUUUCCUAUUAUUACAAACGUUUUCGUGAUAAUUUCAAAAACCUUUUAUAUUAUGCAAGUAUACCAAUGCUUGAUAAAUAUGUUAAGCUCGACUUUUUCUAAGUAAUUGUGUUAAUUAUUACAAAAUAUAGUAUUUUGGAUGCGUUUUCAUAUAGAUUAAUAUUAGUUUAUCAAAAAAUUUACUACUAAAAAAAAUGAAUAACAAUAACUAUGAACUCUCAUAAAGGCAUUUAAAAUCCUAACGACACAUCACAAAAAUAUCGAACAUUAUAUUUAUAAGAUAAAAGCAUGGCGGUUAUGUUAUAAUCGUAACAUGGGCAGCUGAAAAAGCAACGUUAUAUUUUACCUUGUUCAGAUAUAUGUCAUGCUACAUGCCGAACCAUACAUAGGCUACGUUGUGACUAUAUCUGUGAUUUGUUCCUAUCAGAUAAUGAAAGAACUUAAAAAGACAACGAAUUCCACGUAGAAGUACAAUUGAUGAAAUUAAAAGGGCAACCACUGCCACAUACAAAUACACUUGAUGAAACACGACUCAAACUAGACAACUCAAUCUAUUACUCAUAAUCACCACACUCAAUCCAAAUCUCCACACAAACACACCAAAAAAUCGAUCAAGACUGAAAACGCGACAUGAAGAUGUCAACAUUAACACCUUCUUUUGCAUAUGGAACAAUGCUCCCACUGCAGAAGUAGCACAAACUCAGCUCAUGCUUAAAGAUUAGUGCUCAAAGAUCUCAAAUUGAAGGUAAUAAGAACUUUUUAAUUGUAUAACGUGUGAGGAGUUUAUGGAGUUGUUAGAAUGAGCUUGAUACCAUAUAUAUAAUUAUUUUUAAUGCACGUACAGUAAUGUUGUUAAACGCACAUAGACAUUAAUGAACGAAUGCUCGGUUAUCUGCUAUCUGAUAUUCUUGGAAAACUUUCAGUCUUGACUUAAAUAUGAUGGUUCCAAACGAUAAGAUCGAGGUGAUGAGGACAAAAAAGACAUUGAAGGGAAACCGUAGACCAUACGGAUGGGAUUAUGCAUCGAAUUAUAUACACAAACCUAAAAAACACCCUGAGUAUCUACAAACAAUCCUCUUAAUUUUUGGCCCUAUGAAUUUUUCAAUCCUCUUUGGCUCCACUCUUAUUUGUAUUGUUUCCCUAGUUGUUCACCUCAUCCUAUGAAUGACCUCAACCAAAUAGAGCAUUACCCAAAACAAAUUCAAGGAAUGAAAGAGAGCAACAUUCGAGAAUGUUUCUUAUAAAAUCAUGUUAUCCUCUGAAUAAUAAGAUGUGAACUGAUUUGUAGUAAGUGAGAAGGGCAUGUUAAAUAAAUUCAUGUGCUUAUAGCUACAGUAGUUUUAUUAAAAAAAUUGUCUAUAUAUCUGGUUGUUACAUAAUACAUUAUACUAUAAAAUAUUUUCUUUAUAAAAGUUUGAAAUCUUCUACAAAUAGUCAUUACUAAAUUUGCCUACGUUAGGAAAGUCGUACUUUUGUAAAUCAAACAAUUAAAAAACUUGAAAAUAAUUAAGUUCAAGGGGUCUUGACAAAACAAAUAAUCUUUAAUUAUUUUGUUUGUAUCCAAUAUUCCAAAACAUUUUUUUACAUAGAAAUAAUAACCUCUUAGUCGUGCAUAUUGGAUUUUGUAAAAGCCAUCUACAAUCAAGGUUGCAAAGGAAAAAAAAAAUGAAAAAAAAAACAUUCAGUCAUUACUAGUCGGUCGAUUGGGAUCAACAAAUAAUCUACAUAGAUGAGGAGUGAUCGGUGACCCUAAAUUAUUAAACAAUUUAUUUAAAAAAUAUUACAAAUAUCCUAAAAAAAUGAUUAAAUAACCAUAAAAAUGAUAAUAUAGUGUUUUACCAUUUCAAUAACGAAUCAUCAUACAUUAAAUCUAUAAUCGGAUGGUAACAGAAACAAGUUGAAACGUCCAAAAAGUACUAAAUAAAAAAUUAGUUUUCAACAACUAAAACCAUUCAUUCAUCCAUCCGUGAGAUAAUCAGAGCAUAAAAGUAUACUCAAAACAUCAGUACAAGAUCAUAAGACAGAUAGUGCGAAAAAACUCUAAUGGAGGCAAUGCGAUCAAGUCAAUCCCUUCCCAUUGGAACUAAAAGUACCUGCAAUAUUUAAACAUUGAACCAUAACCACAAAGCUUACCGAAUCCCUUAAAAUACAACAUACCAAACAUAUCAGUAGGCCAAUCCCUAAGGGUUUAUUUCAACCCAUGCAAAUGCUAUGAUCCAACCAUAGUCUUACAUCCACUUAUGUUGCAAUAGCACAUUUGCAGUCUUUCAUGCAAUGAUCCAACCAUGGUCUUCGAUACAAGUGUUGUGAUUCAACCACCGUUUUUCAUAGUAUAGUGAGAAGAGUCACCUCACAAACGCAGUUGAAAGGACCAAAGCUUACACAGAAGGUAAAUUGGUGCUACACACAGCCCAAAGAAACGUUUAAGGUCAAACCCCAGUAUACCCUCCAAAACUAGGAACUAGUCAAAAGUCACUAGGUCAAAAAUCAAUUGUCAACAGUCACCACGUGGCCACAACAUGACAACUCAAAUAGUCGCGACCAAUUCUGCCACCAUGUCUUGGUAAGGAUGCCACAUGUAGCACUCUAAAUUUUCAAACAAAAUUUUCAUUUUUAAAACCACCCAAAACACAGUUUCAUAAUUCUCAAACCCAAGUUUAUAAGUUGUUCAAAACACAUGAUAAUAAAAUGUUUGACAAUAUCCCAGAAUCCUCAAAACAUAAUCUCAAACUGGUGUGUACAAUCAAGUCGGCACCUUCGUGUGGUCCUCAGAGGUACCUAAAACACAUUAUACACGCCACUGUAAGCAUGAAGCUUAGUGAGUUCCACAAAAUACCACAAACAAAUAAUUAGCUUCUCAUGGCUAUAUCUCGAUAAGGACCCUCCGGUCAUGUGUCUCAGUGAAGACCCUCGGUUCUCACAACUCGGGAUGGACCCUCCGGUCCUAACUCAAUAAGGCAUAGAAUAAUAUACAGCAUAAAUCACAAAGACAAAAUUAAUAAAUUCACAUAACUCAAUAUAAGCACAUAAGACCCUCAAGUCAAUAACUCAAAUAAGCCCUCCUGUCACACAGCAUUACCACUCAGGUAAGUAUAGUGAGAAGAAUCACCUCGUAUGUAAGCAAGUAGGUCUCGCACUCAACGAUCGGUCUAGAAUUUGCAUACAUAUCAUAAUCAUCUCUAAUUAACGCUUUAUAAUGACAACUCUAAAGAUGUUAAGCUAACCCCUUUUCUAACUCUCAGAAAGUGUGAAAGACCAUUUUACCCCUCCAUGGUCUCCAUAAUCCAUAACUUGACCAAACCCUAAAAGUCAACGGAAGUCAACACUUAAGUCAACAGUCCAUGUUAACCCAACUCGUCAAGUGCAUCUAUGCGACUCGGCGAAUUCCUUCCUUUCGCUGAAAUAUCGGGAAAAUCCAACUCAACUCGUCGAGUUGUCUCACAAACAUGCCAAGUUUGUAAUCUGUCUUGAGUAUUCAGGGAAAACCCUAACCAACUCAUCGAGUUGGCUCACCAACUCAUCGAGUCCCUUUAGUCAAUUCUCUCAUUUAGACGUUUUUAUGCAGAACUAAGGCCCCAUACUCUAGAUCUAGCAUUUUAAGGCUAAAAUAUCACGUAAAGCUGCAAGCUUUACAUUCAUGCAUGGCAUCAAGGGCUAAUUUUGCCAACCCAAAGCUCAAUAGAGGGUUUAAGACAUGAAAGUUGGCCAAAGCUUAAUAAAGCUUCAAUCUUUUGGCCUAAGGGACCUCAUAUUGUCCAAAUCAGAAGUCUCAUAUUUAAGGCGUGCUCAAACAACUAAAGGACUAAAAGAGAAUAUGGAAAUGGCCAUAAACUCCCUAGUGAAGAGAUCUAACAUACAAUGGUCAAGGUGAUAGCACUUUACCUCCAAAUGGCAGCUAACACUAAAAGAAAACUUGAUCCAUGGGCUCCUUCUUAUUCCAAGCCUUUUUCUCCUCAAACUCCUUUCAAGAAUGCACUAAAACAUACAAUCUUAGCCUAUCACUCUCUCACAGAUGAUAAUAGCUCGAUUAGGGUUUCUCUCAUCAUGUUAAGGUCUCACACCCCAAAACCGGAACGACGGAAACAUUCCGGGGCGGAGGACGUCAUGUUUGAUGGGUUUGAGCCAUAAGAACUUUCCUAUGUGCGCAUACAAACCCUAAUGCUUGGAUCUAGGUUUCUCUAAUUGAACAUGCAAUGUAUCCAAGGCUUACAAUUCUAGAUCUAGUGUAAACAACUGAAUAAUAUCAUAUAAAAUAGAUCAAGAAGAAUACCUUAAGUUGCUAGCUUGAAACUUCUUGUUCUUGGACCUUAGAGUCACAAUUGUCACUCCUCUAAUGGCUUACAAACACCAACUAGCAAGAGGAUGAUAUUGAGAGAGAGUGGUGAGGGUGAGAAAUCGGCCCUAGGGUUCAUGCCUUGCAUGAAUGCCGAUUUCCCUCGCCCAAGGGUUCUAUUUAUAUUAUGAGCUAUUAGGGUUUCACCUUUAACCCUAAUUGAAUAACUUAGGCCCUAAGCAAUCCAAAGAUCCUCCUAGAUAUGAGGGUUGGACGAUUUUAAGAUAUCCAAACCCUAAAAAUCGUCCACCCUUAAGGAUUCAUAGCCCAAAACACAAGUAUCACACAUUUGACAGUUUAUGCCCCUUUAUUCAAUUAAUCUCUUUAAGUCACCAAAUUAAUUCUUAAUUAAUAUAUGACUUAUAUUAAACAAAUAAUAUUAGUAUUCCUUUAAUAUUUUAUUCACAUAAUAUAUUAACAAUAAUAUCUCUUCUCUCUUUACAAAUCAUCCUGUCAAGUUGCUAUGGUGAAGGCAACCCAAAAGGACCAUGCACAACUGGGUCAAGUACUUACCAAAUAUAGUUACAACCUUAGACACUAAUCCGACAGUCUCCCACUUGGAUAAGUCUAGUAACUAUAUAUGCAAAUACAAUCCGAUUAGCAAUCGUAGCUCUCAAAGACGCUGUCAAACUCUGAUCAUAUCAAUAUCAUGUCCUUUAGAUAAGGGAUCGUACAGUCCUCUGUUUAGAUAUUGUGUGGACAAUCUCAUGGAACUUAUUGUCCAGCAGUUGGUUUCUCGACCUCAGAUUCAUUUGACAUAGAACUUAAUUAAACACAUCAAUUCAGUCCUGACCGGGCCGGACACAUAAGACAAAUCAAAUCAUCGAGGGGCCCUGAUAUCGCUUUUAUCCUCAUAGGAUAAAAGUAACAGAUAAACUUCAACUUAUAUGCAUUUACUAUUUACUAAUCAAUUAUACACAACAAUGUGUUCUAUGACACCAAUUUACUGAUGCGGUUUCGUAUUGUCAAUGCACAACCAAUUAAUAAACAAUAAACCAUAUAUCUUGGUUUUAAGACUAUAUGAUAUUAUCGUCUUGCGAUCACUUGCGUUACGUUCCAUAAAGUGAUUCUAGCAAGCGCGGGUUUAUUCCAAUGCUCAAAACUUGUUUAUAAGCACUCAUGAACGUUACAGCAAACCUUUGCUAUGUCUAAUACCUUUUAGGCAAUCUACACACCAAUUCAUGACAAUCUUCAUUCAUACCUACUUCCAACAUAUGAACGAUUGUGGACCAUUCGAAUAAUUCGAUUAUUCUUAAUAACUCAAUUAUUCAGGAAGUCAAAACAUGCAAAGUGAAACAAUAGUUAAACAAUUAACAUAAGAUAGUAGCUUUACUUAUAAAUAAUACUCCUUUUAUUUAAUCAUCAAAUGUCAAUCACAUUUAUCUAUUACAUGUUUCCAAACUAUCUAAUCUAAACUAAUGUCGUCUUUCAGCCCAAUGCUCCUAGUGUGCUGCAAAUGCUUAACCCUACUCAGUCCCUUCGAAAGCGGAUCUGCUGGGUUAUCCUCUGACGAUACCCUUUUUACUACGAGGUGUCCUUCUUCUACUCGAUGUCAAAUAAAGUGAUACUUUCUGUCGAUAUGCCGAGAUCUACCAUGAUCCCUCGGUUCCUUGGUCAAGGCAACCGCUCCUUCAUUAUCACAAAAAAUUUCCAUAGGCUCCUUUAUGGCAGGCACAACUCCAAGGUCACCAAUGAAGUUCUUCAACCACAUCGCCUCCUUUGACGCUUCGCUCGCUGCAAUGUACUCUGAUUCGCACGUUGAAUCAGCUACGGUUUCUUGUUUGGAACUUUUCCAGGUCACUGCUCCUCCAUUAAGGGUAAAGACCCAGCCCGACCGUGAACGGUAGUUGUCCCUAUCGGUCUGGAAGCUAGCGUCACUAUACCCUUGCACCUUUAAGUCAUCACUCCCUCCGAGGACUAAAAACCAUUCAUUGGUCCUCCGAAGGUACUUAAGUAUAUUCUUGACCGCAAUCCAAUGAGCUCUGCCAGGGUUCCCUUGAUAUCUACUGACCAUGGUCAAAGCAAAGGCCACAUCACGGUGAGUACAAGUCAUAGCAUACAUUAUUGAGCCAACUGCAGAAGCUUAGGGUACUCGGCUCAUCUUAGCUAUCUCGGCUUCUGUACUCGGACUUUGAGUCUUACUCAAUUUGACAUUACUAUGUAUCGGUAGUUCUCCCUUCUUCGAGUUUUCCAUACUAAAACGUUUUAGUACCUUAUCCAAAUAAGUAUUCUGACUAAGUCCUAUUAGUCUCUUACUUCAUUCUCUCACUAUCCUUAUUCCCAAAAUAUAGGAAACCUCUCCGAGGUCCUUCAUAGCGAAGCACUUCCUGAGCCACGACUUAACCUCCUGCAGAGUCGGGAUGUUGUUUCCUAUGAGCAGUAUGUCAUCGACAUACAAAACGAGGAAGCUAACUAUACUCCCACUAGCCUUGACAUAUACACAUGAUUCAUCUUCACUUCGUACAAAUCCAAACUCUUUGACUUUCUCAUCGAAGUAAAGAUUCCAUCUACGAGAUGCUUGCUUAAGUCCAUAAAUGGACUUCUCAAGAUUGCACACUCUAUUAGGAUGCUUCGGAUCGACAAAAACUUCUGGCUGAGCCAUGUAAACAUCCUCAGCCAACUUCCCAUUAAGGAAAGCGGUCUUGACAUCCAUUUUCCAUAUCUCAUAAUCAUGAAAUCCAGCAGUGUCUAGCAUUACCCUAAUAGACUUUAUCUUAGCAACUGGCGAGAAGGUGUCAUCAUAGUCAGCUCCGGGAGUUUAAGUAAAGCCCUUCGCCACCAAUUGUGCCUUAUACGUGUGCACAUUCCCAUCCACGUCGGUCUUCUUCUUGAAGAUCCAUUUGCACCCAACCGUCUUACGUCCGGGCAUAUUUUCAACCAAAUUCCAAACUUGGUUGUCAUACAUGGACUGAAUCUCGCUGUCCAUCGCCUUUUUCCAUUUUGUAGACUCUAGGCCUACCAUGGCUUUUUUAUAGCUAUUAGGUUCAUCUAGAUUUAUUAGUGUAUCAUCACUAAUAUACGUGUCCCCCUUCGGUAGUAAUAUGAAAACCAUAAAACGGGGGUUGAACUCUAACUCUUUUGGAAUGUCUAAGAGGUAAGGACUCGUCAAUUGGUUUAACGGGGGUUUCCUCCUCGGGUUGAGUGCCAUCAUUAGAGGUUCCUUCAUCACUCGACUCUUGAACUUCUUCAAGAUUGAUUUGCCUCCCACUGUCCCCUUGGCUUAUGAGUUCUCGCUCUCAGAAAACUCAUAUCCUUGCAACGAAGACAACAUUGUCACUCGGCCUAUAGAAGAGAUAUCCAAAGGAUUUCUGCGGGUAGCCAAUGAAAAUACAUUGCUCACUACGAGGUUCGAGCUUGUCGUGAGUUUCUCGUCUUACGAAAACUUCACCGCCCCAAACCUUGAUAUGUGCCAACGAAGGAGGUUUCCCUGUCCAAAUCUCGUAAAGUGUUUUGGCAACCUUCUUUGUAGGGACUCGGUUAAGGAUAUGGGCGGCAAUCUCUAAGGCAUACCCCCAGAAUGAGAUAGGUAGUGAAGCACGAAUCAUCAUAGAAAGAACCAUGUCUAAUAGGGUUCGAUUACGCCUUUCUGCCAUACCAUUCAAUUGCGGUGUCCUAGGUGGCGUCAAUUGCGAAACUAUUCCGCAUUCCUUGAGAUAGUCGUGGAAUUCAAGACUUAUGUACUCUCCUCCUCGAUCAGAUCAAAGCAUCUUGAUUUUCCUGUCCAAUUGAUUCCCCACUUCAUGUUUGAACUCGUUGAAUUUUUCAAAUGUUUCUGACUUGCGCUUGAUUAAGUAAAUAUACCCAUAUCUACUAUAAUCAUCGGUGAAAGUCUCUUAGAAGCGGUUCCCAUCCUUUGUGGUGGAUCUAAAAGGCCCACACACAUCGGUGUGUAUGAGAUCCAAUAAACCCCACCCCUCUCACAAGUGCCAGUGAAGGGUGACUUGGUCAUCUUUCCAAGUAAACAAGAUUCGCACGUGUCAUCUUCCCUAAGGUCGAAUGACUCCAACACUCCAUCCUUUUGGAGUUGGGCUAUGCGCUUCUUGUUGACAUGUCCAAGACGACAAUGCCACAAGGAUGCUUUAUCCAUACUAUUGGAAGAAUCCAUACACAACACAUCAUUUCCUAGGUUAUCUACAACCAUAACAGUUUCAUAAAUUCCAUUACAAGGCAUUGCUUCAAAAUAUAAAACACCAUUUAGAUAAGCAUAAAUCGAACCAUUCUCAUUAUUAAACGAAUAUCUAAAUCCUUGUCUAAAUAAACCAUGAAAAGAAAUGAUGUUUCUUGCCAUAUCUGGCGAGUAGCAACAAUUAUUUAAAUCUAAAUUCAAUCCAUUACUAAGCACUAAAGAAUACACUCCAAUCUUGGUAACAGGCGACGAUCUUCUGUUCCCCAUGAUUAGAUUUAUUCUUCCAAGCUCCACAUCCCUAUUUCUUCCUAGUCCCUGCAAAUCAGAACAAAUGUGGUAACCACAUCCUGUAUCAAGAACCCAAGAAAUAGCAUGAGAUGAAUCAUUAGAUUUAAUUGUGUAAAUACCUGCGAAAGAUGGCUUGAUCUUCCCAUCCUUGAUGGCUUGCAGAUAUUCCGGGCAGCUUCUCUUCCAAUGCCCUAUUUUGUGGCAAUGGUGGCACUCUGCCUCCUUUGGGUUUGGGUUGGGCUUAGCAGGAUCAACCUUGGUCCCACUAGAAGAGGAACCAUCUUGGGACUUUCCCUUGCGGUGGUUCUUCGAAGAAGCCUUCCUCUUCUUGCCCCUUCCCUGCCCAAUAGCCAAAACAGGAGCAGCGGGUGGAUUGGGAGUUGGUGCAACAGACUUGUCCUUGAGGUUUCUCUCAGCAGUCCUUAGGAGCCCUUGGAGUUUGCUUAGGGUGACCUCUUCCUUGUUCAUGUGGUAGGUCAUCCUAAAUUGGUUGUAGCAUGAGGGCAAGGAGUGAAGAACAAUGUCGAUAGCCAAAUCUUCCCCAAAGUUGACAUUCAACUUGCGAAGACGAUCAACAUACCUUUGCAUCUUUUGCAAGUGCAUGGUUAGAGACUCUCCACAUCCCAUUUUAGCAGUGAUCAUAUUCGUUAUAAUUUCAUAUCGCUCUUGCCUCGUGCUUUGGUGGUAUCUCUCCAUCAAGUCUAGAUGCAUCUCAUAAGGAUACAUGUCCUCAUAGGACUUUUGGAAUUCGGAGUUCAUCGUGGCUAUCAUGAUGCAAUGGACUUUCGUUGCAUCACGUUCAUGGGUCUCAAAGACAGCCAUUUCUUCGAGAGUAGCAGUUUCAGGAUUGAUCUUCUCGAGCUUCUCAUCAAGAACAUAUUCUUUGUCCUCAUAACGCGCGAUCGUGCGAAUGUAUCUUAUCCAUUCGCUAAAGUUCGACCCAUCAAAAGUCACUUUUGACCAAAGGCUCAUUAGAGUGAAUGAGCUAGCAGCAGCGUUGUUCGCGUUAGCAUCUACAAAUAGAAAGGAAACAAAGUUUGAUUAGAGUUAAGUCCCUAAUUAGCACCCAAAAUAAAAAUUAGGGCUACGACCCAACAAUAUUAUUUACACAUUAGAAAAAGGAUGCCGUAAUCCAAUAUGCAAAUAAUUUGGAGGUAAGUGAAUGACGAUUCACUAAUUCUUCAUCAUGAAAAACAUAAGCUUAAGUUUUAAAUGGAUUGAGAAUUCCUAGAUUUCUUUGAGAUUCACUGAACUUUUCAAUGGCAUGUUUAAAUCUCGAUAUGCCCCUCUAGUUUGUGACUGGGAUACCGAGGAUCACAAAGCGGGUGUGAAUAACCAUGCAAAUCUACAUGGCGCCUUCAUUGUUACAGUCACCUAUUCGAUGUGCCGGUAAACCACACACGCUCCAUCGAACUAUGACUAACAGUGAAUCACCCUUUGCCACCUUUUCUUAGAACCAAUUAGUGUGUCGGUUAACCAUACGCGCUCCACUAACAUCUUAACAAGGGUUCAAAGUGUAAUUUUAUGGGAUUACAUCGAUUCACUUUUCCUAAAGUAACUAAGAUUGGGAAUUUUAUGAAACACGUUUAGUUACUUUAUAAAGAUUCAUUAUACUUAUUAAUGAGGAGAGGGUUGCCCUAUCCUACCCGUUCAGCUAACGACCCUUCACCAGUCAAGCAAGCGGUGGGUGUGAGUGUACACCCAUUAAGCGCCAUUUUAUAGGCAGCAACCUUAUACC
rnacentral:lncRNA from 1 species